rnacentral:sRNA from 1 species
UUGGACCUAGGCCUCCGCACACAUAUGUAACAGAUGUGCAGUUUGGUCUUCAUAUGGGUCCUGAACAACUGGGGAAGGGGCUAUCCCAAUAGCUGUUACCUGUAUGUCAGAUAUGUUCUUCUAGCUCCGCUGCCUUUUCUGGCCUCAGUGGGAGAGUAUGUGCCUAUCCUCACAAAAACUUGAAGUGCCAGCAUUGGGGAAUAACCGGGAGGGGGAGCACCUGCUUAGAGGAGAGGAGAAGGAGAUGGAGGGAUUGUGGGAGGGGCUAACUGAGAGGGGAGUAGUGAGCAGUAUGCAAAGUGAAUAAGUAAAUAAUAAUAAUAAUAAUAAUAAUAAUAAUAAUAAUAAUAAUACCCAGUUAUGUUAUGUGAAUAUGCUGUUGUUUUAAUCCCAGAUGUGGAAUAAUGGGCUGCUUCUGUUUGUCCACAGCUGUUAACUAUGUUGCCUCAUGUUCUGGGAGGGAUGUGAUUUUUACCGGCUACAGAUAGUUUAAUUCUGGGGUCUUUGGAGAGGGAAGAAAGGCCUGAGCCCCGAGAGGGGUGGGAAGUGCUCUGUAGAAGAAAGUGGCUGCUGCUUGUUCCUGCUGGUUCCUGCUGCUGUGUGCUGUUGUGUUUGAUAUUGCAGGUUUGCUGGGCUGCUGGAUAUUCUGACGAGGAAGAUUGGACUUGCCCCAGGAACCCAAUGCACCUGGUCAGGAGGACAUGGCCUAGAGAGAGAAAAAGAGAAGUCCUGCUGUGGUGGCUCACAUCUAUGAACCAAGAACUUCGGAAGCUAAGACAGAAGGCUCAGGUGUGCAGAACCACCCCCGGCUCCACAGUGAAUCCAAGGCCAGUGUGGGCUACCUGAGACCUUGCUGAAAGAGAAAAAGAGCAGUGGGGAGGAGGGACAGGGAGAAGCAGAGACGAGGGAGAGGGGAAAGAAAGGAGGAAAGAAGGGAGGAAAGGAGAAAGACUUUGAAGUAAACAUGUUUUCAGUUAGCAGAAAGAAUAAAUUCAAGAGUGAAAGGGAGAGAGAGAAGGGCACAUGCACACAUAUGCAGGGGGGGAAGAGAAAGAGGGGGAAAGAGGGAGAGGGGGGAAGAAGAAGAAGGAGGAGGAGGAAGGAGGAGAAGAAGGAGAAGGAGAAGGAAAGGAAAGGAAAGGAAAGGAAAGGAAAGGAAAGGAGAAGGAGAAGGAGAAGGAGAAGGAGAAGGAGAAGGAGAAGGAGAAGGAGAAGGAGAAGAUCACCUGGAAUUGACUGUCUAUGAGCCCGUGAGACCUUAGGGAAAGCACUGAGCAUCUCUCAGCUGUUGUCUGUGGUCUUUCUCAUCCUUAGCUCUGUCUUAUUUAUGGCCCUUUUCCCUCUGCUUUCCUCCAGACACUUAACUUUACCAUCUAAGGACUUUCCUGCACGAUGUUUCUGCUGUUUUGAUUGGCCUUGCUACCCUCAUGCACUAGGUCUCAAUUUCGCUGCUCCAGAGAGUUCUUGUAUUUAAGCCCUGGUUUCUCUCUCAGAGUCAACUGUCCCUGUGGUUUUCUCUUUCCUCCACAGUUCUCAGGAUUUGGGCUGAACGAAGAAGCUCAAUGAAGUAGUGAGCACAUGGUCACUGUGGCUGCUGUGUCUCCCAGGUUUCCUAUUGUCCCGCGUCUCCUGUGAAAUGGUUGGUUCUUGUCAGGCUGUAUUGAAUGGAUUUUUUUAAACAACUCUCUUAUUUGUUUAUAUUCCAACUUCUUGAGUGGAACGGGCUUUACACAUAACCUCAAAGGCCCAUUUCUGACUUUGGUACCAUCGUUUCUAGGGUUGGAUUUCUUUAGCCUUUGGACACAUACACCCCGGAACACACACACACACACACACACACACACACACACACACACACACACACACAAUCACUUUGUGAGGCAGGGAGGCUGCACCUCUUGGGUUCACUGUGUAGGGCAGACCUAGAGGCGAUGAAUGGUUUCCAAGUCUGCAUGAUCCCGAGUUUCAGAUCCCAUAGGACACUCACUUCUCUGACUGCAUCUAAUUUUUGCCCAGCCGAUAAUUAUUUAUAGCCCUUUAUCUAACUGACUUAUAAUUCUGCUGAGACUCAAGUGGCGGAAUUGACAAUAAGCUUGCCAAUUAUGCAUUAUUUUGGGUCUUUCUGUACAAACCUUCUUUUCUAGCAGACCAAAAAUUAUCUUCAUUUAGACUCUCCUUUUUGUGAAUCCCUCCCCCACCCCCACCUCCAUGUCUGCUUGCGAAUUGAACUUGAGAGAUCUCAGAAGGCUGAAUUUAUCAGUAACCACACCCUCAAGCACAUCCCUUCAUUCAUUUACCAACAGUGUUGCCCAUGGUAGGAAUGAAUGCCAAGGGGAAACCAGGGGAGGGGUACAUGUUAAGUUUUUAAGUUGUUGAAUUGCGCUCAGCGGAUCAACAGCAAUUUCAAAAACAUUUUCCUGAUGUUUCGUGUAUUCUCCUCCUGCCUUUGGCGCGUGCACAGGCCUCUGAAUAUGUCAAAGAACCAUGGGGCACAGAGAACAGCUGCAGAUCCAGACCAGAGAUGCUCUAGAAAUUCAUUCGGGGCACUGGCUCGGUGGUAAAGAGCAUCUAUUGCUCGUGCAGAAGACCAGGGUUGAGUUCCCAGCACUCAUGUCAGGCUGCUCACAACUGCUCCAGGGGAUCCGACGCCCUCUUCCGGCCUCAGCGGACACACAACUUUUUAAAACGGAAGAAGGAAGGAAGAAAUUCAUUUUGUUAGCAGUGGCAUAAGGACCCGGAGGGUAAGGCAGGACUUGCUUGUGGCAAGGGCAAGGCUAUGGUCACGACCAAACUUUGCUGUUUGACCACUCUGGCACUCUGUGUCUCCCUGCCAUGCUCACAACUUACCAUCCUCGGCCCAUUCAUCUCCACUUCCGGUCUGUCUGCCCCUGGACGAGAUGAAGUCUGAGCUUUCUGUUUUCUUUCUCAAGUCUGGGUGCGCACGUGGGAAGGAGGAAUCUUCCAUGUGUGCCAGGCUCCCUGGGGCUGCUAAAACUGAGCUGUGAACUGUGCUCUCAGCGAACAGAAUGCCUAGCUGUUCUGGAGGCUUCUUAUCUCGUCUAGGUCUUCUGCUGGAAGGGUUGGCUCCUUCUGAGAACUAUGAGGAGAAAGUGUUCUUUGCCUCUUCUAGCUUCUAGUACCUCCUGGAAGUCCUUGGCUGCGGUUUUGUCACUCCAAUCUCUGUCUCCAUCUUUGCACGCCCAGCUCCUUUGUGUAUCUUUGCCUCAUCUCCCCUCUGAAUGCCUUCCUUUGUCUCUACAUUUUCCCUUUCUAUAAGGACGUCAGUCUUUGGAACCCGGCCCUAUCUUUGUGAUCUAACUUAAGCUUGACUAUCUUUGUAAAGAACCUGUAUUCAAGUAAGGCCACAUUCUGGGGUGCUAGAGAUUAGGACUUCUUGUCUUUCGGGGUCGUACACAACUCAACCCAAGACACCAUCAAAAGUGUGUUCCCUGUCAGUUAAGCUACCACAGUGGAGGUAUCCAUGCAAAGGCACACAGACAGCUGAGGGAUAUCUUUCUGGACCUAGAUGGUGUUUAAGCGAAUAAGCAGGAAAAAAGCUUAAAGGUGUUAUUAUUGAGCCAGGCGUUGUGGUCCAUACUUUUAGUCCAAGCAGGCAGGAGGCAGACCCAUGUUCCUGUGAGUUCUAUACCAGCUCAGGCAACAAAGUGAGGCCCUUUUUCAAAAACAAAAAAACAAAAAAACAAAAAAACCAAACAAACAAACAAAAACCAAAGGUAUUCUUAUUGCUGUUCUUGUUACUACUCUCAACGUCCUUCUUCAAGUUUUUGUCAUUUACUCAUUCAUUCAUUCAUUCAUUCAUUCAUUCGUUCAUUCAUUCAUUUGUCAUAACUUUGUUGUUAAAUAUGGUAGCCCCUGUUCUAAAGGCAAUCAAUAAAACAGACACAAAUUCUGA